GUGCUCACUUGGGCAGCACAUACACUAAUACUAAAAUUGGAACAAUACAGUGAAGAUUAGCAUGGCCCCU
ensembl:snRNA U6 U6 spliceosomal RNA